CAACCCUGCGGAGGAGUCCACUUGGCAAGGAACUGAGACCUCUUGCCAACAGCCUGCACCGGGUUGUCUGAUGUGUGAGUGAGCCUUUCUGGGAGCCGAUCCUCCAGUCUCAGUCAAUCUCUCACGUGACUGCAGCCUUGGCUGACAUCUUGACUGCAACCUCAGGAGAGAUCCCAAGCCAGAAUUAUCCUGCUAAUUCACUCCCGAAUUCCUUAUCCACAGAAACUCUGAGGAGCUGGAAUUCUGGACGAGAUCACCUGAUGCCUGAGUUUCUGGGGCUGCUUCCCCCUCUCCAGACGCGGAUACUGAGACUCAAGAGGCCACCCCAGUGUGGACCGCUGGUGCACGACAGAAUCGGGAUUCUGACCAGAGCUGUCUGGUCCCAGAGCCUGUGCUUGUGACUGUGAUGUGAUGCAGGAGAGUGGACUAUACCAGCGUGUAGACUGCCUGGAACAAAUAGAAACCCAGCUGAGUUCCUGCAAUUUACAUAG
rnacentral:lncRNA from 1 species